UUAUUUGAAAAGGCCCCCGAUAAUAAAAACUUGGUUUAGGCCUCCAAUUUGAUUGAGCCGCCACUGGAAUUACUUGUGAAUGUCGGGACGUCUAGCGUAUGUUGUCAUACUGGUCUGCGCUAGAGAGCUCCUCAACGAUCAUAUCCCAUCUAAACCAUCGAGGAAGAGUCGAACCCAAGACCUUGAGAGCAAAAACUCUCCUCUGACCCUCCAUAAGGCAAACCGGUGACCAACCCACCUAAGUGAGUUGGUUAUCAGAGCCUAUAUAUGACGCCCAAAUUACCAUCUCUUUAUUUUUUUAAUAGUGACAGUCGUCCAAAUUGAUUUGAAAAAAACAUAAUGAGAUGGUAAUAAUGACUUGUCCGAUGUGUUAUCUGUUGAUAAAAGACAGUUGUCCUUGUGGUUUUAAGUCCCACAUAACUAAUAUAAAGUGCUGGAAUCUUUCUUUGAUGGUUUUAAGGCUGUGAAGAUAAUGAUGAAUUUCAACAAAGUGAAGACGAGAUUAUCCGUAUCUUGGCAGGGUAACUCAAUCACUUGGAUGGUUAAGUGUUAUUUCACAUUGCAACCGGUGAUUAAGUUUGCAGCCAUGGCGGAUUAAUCCUCUUUAUUUCAUUGUUUAUACAUCUAUCUAUCCGAGCCUCAUAAAUAGUUUUAUGUUAUUCUAUUUACUAUCUGUUAUUCUAUAGAAUUCUUUUCAUACAUUAUAUUUCUUAAACUAAUAAACUGUUCCUUUUCUGUUCAAAAAACGAAAAUAAACCUUUUCUUCUCUUAUUCAAGAAUUUAAACUUUGGGAUCUAUGUUUGGUUUGAUAUGUAAUUUUAACAGUUUAUGAGAUUGUUUGACUUUUCUGUUACUCAAUAAAUGUCAUUCCAAGUAUUGAGCAGCCAACCAUGUCAAUUGGCUAAAAUGCUUUACACCUUGAAGGUUAGUUUACUUAAUAAAUCUGCAGCCCUGUUUAAUUUAACUUUUGCCUUUGGGGGAUGAAGAUUUCAUUUGCAAGUUUAGUCCAUUUUACUCCGUAGAAUGGGCCCUGGUAUGAGUGUCGGGUGUUUUUACCUGGUAUCAGUGGUUGAAACUGAGUCUCUCAAAUUUAAUUAUUCCGAGUUCUUCCCAUUAUAUAGGAAGUAGUUUGUAAUGCAAACACAUUCAACUUGGUUGAAAUGAAAUGAAGCAAUCAGAGCAGGGAUUUCGAAGAAAAUAGUAUCGAAGGGGCGUGAGUGAAUCGGAACAAGGUUGCGGUUAAGAGCAUCUUUGCGGGAAACUUUGUUAUUUUGAAAGAAACAAUAUCUGAUUGACUUCGUUCUUUCAAGUUGUAACAUCAGCCAAACUGUAUACAAGGCUACUUAGUCAUUGUAGUUAUUUCAACAAUGCCACAUUCGAGGAUAUGUUGUGCUGCACUAGUGGAUGCGGUGGUUUGCCAAGAGAAGGAUGUGUAUAUGCAAGGGGCUUAUUGUAUAGGACCAUUGUAGAGAAUAUGUGUUGGAAUAAACAUGGUUUGAUUCAAGGGAAAA